rnacentral:rRNA from 1 species
GGGUCAGUAGGUUGGUCGUGCCACCGGUACGUACUGGUCUCACUGAUUCCUCCUUCCUGAAGAACCGUGAUGCCAUUAAUUUGGUGUUGCGGGGAAACAGGACUGUUACUUUGAAAAAAUUAGUGUGUUUAAAGCAAGCUAACGCUUGAAUACAUUAGCAUGGAAUAAUGAAAUAGGACGAUCGAUCCUAUUUUGUUGGUUUCUAGGAUUGACGUA